GGUCCUGCUGGUGGUCGGUGACAACUCCCCCCACGAGGACGCCGUGGUGGAGUGCAACGCCAAACUGGACCCGACACAAACAUCCUUCCUGAAGAUGGCCGACGGCGGCGGGCAGC